GACGAACGCUGGCGGCGUGCUUAACACAUGCAAGUCGAACGGAAAGGCCCUGCUUGCAGGGUACUCGAGUGGCGAACGGGUGAGUAACACGUGGGUGAUCUGCCCUGCACUUCGGGAUAAGCUUGGGAAACUGGGUCUAAUACCGGAUAGGAGCCAUCUUUAGUGUGGUGGUUGGAAAGUUUUUUCGGUGUAGGAUGAGCUCGCGGCCUAUCAGCUUGUUGGUGGGGUAAUGGCCUACCAAGGCGGCGACGGGUAGCCGGCCUGAGAGGGUGUACGGCCACCUUGGGACUGAGAUACGGCCCAGACUCCUACGGGAGGCAGCAGUGGGGAAUAUUGCACAAUGGGCGCAAGCCUGAUGCAGCGACGCCGCGUGGGGGAUGAAGGCCUUCGGGUUGUAAACUCCUUUCGCUAGGGACGAAGCUUUUUUGUGACGGUACCUAGAUAAGAAGCACCGGCUAACUACGU
rnacentral:rRNA from 1 species